UUGAGAUUUUUAUGUUGGCACGGUUCAGUCAGAUCAAAUCUCUCGGUGGCUGAGUCGUUUAGUCUGAUUGAGCCGUGCCAAUAUCACCUUGACUCGC
rfam:Gossypium hirsutum cultivar TM-1 chromosome 19, whole genome shotgun sequence